UACAGAGGGUGCGAGCGUUGUCCGGAAUCACUGGGCGUAAAGGGCGCGUAGGCGGUGGCGUAAGCGUGCGGUGAAAGCUCGGGGCUCAACCCCGAGUCGGCCGUGCGAACUGGGCCACUGGAGCAGAUCAGAGGCAGGCGGAAUUCCGGGAGUAGCGGUGGAAUGCGUAGAGAUCCGGAAGAACACCGGUGGCGAAGGCGGCCUGCUGGGAUCUUGCUGACGCUGAGGCGCGACAGCGUGGGGAGCAAACAGG
rnacentral:rRNA from 1 species